rnacentral:lncRNA from 10 species
GGCCACCACCUGACUUCUCUUCGCAGGAUUCCCUCUCUUAGGGUUCCUCCACGGUGUUCUCCAUGCCCGGUCGAGGGCUCCAGGACUUUGGGCGGUAAUGAGUCGGCUACAGUGGGUCUGAGCCGGCGCCGCGGACGAGUCCCUUCGUUUCAGCCAGUUUGGCUCGUUUAUUGAGAAAAGUGGGGGGCGAGGGGUUAGUAUGUAAGAAAGUCUUAAAGUUUCCACAUGGUUAAGGUAAUUUUAUCAACUCUUUCUUGCACCCCUCCCCCUAGUACAGGUUUCAGACCUAAAUAACCUAGAGUUCAGGAUCCAGACUUCAAAAUAUUCACUGCUUUUUCUGUUGUUUGUGAAAAAUAAGUGUUUUCUUUGAGCCCAGAUCGUGCUAUUGCACUCCAGCCUGGGCAACAGCCAAACCCUAUCCGAAAAAAAAAAAAAAAAAAAAAGCGCUUUCUUUUUCGACGCUUCUUGCUUCCCUUCAAUAAGUUGCUUGAGGAGCAACUUUGCAGCUUCGUAAUAACACUGUAAUUCAAGUAUUUGUUCAAGAAAGGUGCCAGACUUAUAUCACAGUCUGGAGCAUCUCCCACCUUCUCCUGCUCUCAUCCCUUUUAUCCUUCAUAGAUGUUUCUGCCAAUUGAUCUCUUACAUGUUUUUAUGGGCUAAAUUGUGUCUUGCCCCAAAUUCAGAAGUUAAAGCCUUAACCCCCAGUAUCUCAGAAUGUGACUGGAGCUAGGACCUUUAAGGAAGUGCUCAAGUUCAAUGAGGCUGUUAGGGUGGGCCCUAAUCCAGUCCUGACUGAUGGUUUUAUAAGAAGAGGGAAUUUGGAUACACAGACACCAGGGGCAGGUGCACACAAGAGAAACGGCCACGUGAAGACACAACAAGAAGGUGGCCAUCUGCAAACCAAGGAGAGAGGUUCAGAAGAAGCCAGACCUUCUGACACGUUGAUCUUGGACUACUAGCCUCCAGAAGUGUGAGGAAAUACAUUUCUAUUGUUUAAGCCACU